rnacentral:lncRNA from 1 species
GCCCGGAGCUGGGUAGGACCUGAGACCUCCAAAUAAUGAGGCCCAGAGAGAGGGAGAGCGACUUGCCUCAGGUCCCACAGCGAGAUGGUGACAGAGUUGGGACAAGGACCCAGGCGUGCAGUUUCUCUGUCCAUGCGUGUGGCCCCGGAGCCUCCAGUCCCUCAAUUUUACUAACUUAUCUGAGAGAGAGAGAGAGCAAGAGUAGAGAGGAAGGGCAGAGGGAGAAGGAAAAGCAGGCUCCCCGCUGAGCAGGGUGCCCGACACGGGGCUCGAUCCCACGACCCUGGGAUGCUGACCUGAGCGGAAACCAGAUGCUUCAUCAGUGGAGCCACCCGGGUGACCUAUCUGAAAUUUUCUUGUCUGCUCUUUCGAGACACAAAAUAACAGAUGCAUUUGGGGACAAGGGACCCAGCAUCUUACCAGAUACAUGAAGGCAAGUUAGCCAUCUCUUGCCUACCCCUGGUCUUAGUAGCCUGUGACGC